UGGGGAAUAUUGGACAAUGGGGGAAACCCUGAUCCAGCAAUGCCGCGUGAAUGAUGAAGGCCUUAGGGUUGUAAAGUUCUUUCACCUGUGAAGAUAAUGACGGUAGCAGGAGAAGAAGCCCCGGCUAACUCCGUGCCAGCAGCCGCGGUAAGACGGAGGGGGCUAGCGUUGUUCGGAAUGACUGGGCGUAAAGGGCGCGUAGGCGGUUUUUUAAGUGAGGCGUGAAAGCCCUGGGCUUAACCCAGGAGGUGCGUUUCAUACUGGAAGACUUGAGUACGAGAGAGGAAAGCGGAAUUCCUAGUGUAGAGGUGAAAUUCGUAGAUAUUAGGAAGAACACCAGUGGCGAAGGCGGCUUUCUGGCUCGUAACUGACGCUGAGGCGCGAAAGCGUGGGGAGCAAACAGGAUUAGAUACCCCUGUAGUCC
rnacentral:rRNA from 1 species